GAAAAACAGUUGUGCUGCCAUUUUUGUGGAUGCUGUUAUACUUUUUUCAGGAUACUUUGUUGAAUAGAAAUUUGUAAAGAACAGCAUUUAUUUCAAAUUGAGGUCUUUUGUAACAUUAUAAAUGCCUUGGCGGUCUCUUUUGAUCAAUAUACUGUGACUUUGCUGAUUAAAAGUAUUCAUUACUGACCCCAAAUGGUUGAACAAAGCAUCUCUGAAAUGUGAUGAAAACAAAGAAAAGUCCAGAUAUGAAGUAUGAGAAGAAUUGUACGGCGACAAGUGAUGCAGUGUGCACGUGUGUUGAAGGCUACAGAUGCAGAGACAGUAAAUGCCAGGAGUGUGAGAAGAUUCAGACAGCUACUGUUUCUUCUCCUGCUUCUACUAAAACAAUACCGCCCACCCAUGAUAUAAUGUGGAUCUCGGUGAGUCUGUGUUGUGCGUGUGUGUGUGUGUGUGUUCUGCUCACCUGUUUCCUUCUCAUCAGCAGACAUGCACGACAAUAUGGAUGGAUCAUGCCAACAUCACCCGGUCAGUGCUACUAUAGACAACACAUCAGUGCUUUAAUUCACAAAGAAAACCUGCUC
rnacentral:lncRNA from 1 species